AGAGGGGGCAAGCGUUGUUCGGAAUUACUGGGCGUAAAGGGCGCGUAGGCGGCCCGCUAAGUCGAACGUGAAAUCCCCGGGCUCAACCCGGGAACUGCGUCCGAUACUGGCAGGCUUGAAUCCGGGAGAGGGAUGCGGAAUUCCAGGUGUAGCGGUGAAAUGCGUAGAUAUCUGGAGGAACACCGGUGGCGAAGGCGGCAUCCUGGACCGGCAUUGACGCUGAGGCGCGAAAGCCAGGGGAGCAAACGGGAUUAGAUACCCCGGUAGUCCUGGCCCUAAACGAUGAAUGCUUGGUGUGGCGGGUAUCGAUCCCUGCCGUGCCGAAGCUAACGCAUUAAGCAUUCCGCCUGGGGAGUACGGUCGCAAGGCUG
rnacentral:rRNA from 1 species